rnacentral:rRNA from 1 species
GACGAACCGCCCGAACGUUAUUCGGAAUCACUGGGCUUAAAGGGAGCGUAGGCGGGCUGCCAAGUCCGGGGUGAAAUCCUCCAGCUUAACUGGAGAACUGCCUCGGAUACUGGAAGUCUCGAGGAGGGUAGGGGCAAGUGGAACCGUGGGUGGAGCGGUGAAAUGCGUUGAUAUCCAUGGGAACUCCGGUGGCGAAGGCGACUUGCUGGACCCUUUCUGACGCUGAGGCUCGAAAGCCAGGGAGCAAACGGG